rnacentral:rRNA from 1 species
UACGUAGGGUGCGAGCGUUGUCCGGAAUUAUUGGGCGUAAAGAGCUCGUAGGCGGUCUGUCGCGUCGAAUGUGAAAACCCGGGGCUCAACUCCGGGCUUGCAUUCGAUACGGGCAGGCUAGAGUUCGGUAGGGGAGUCUGGAAUUCCUGGUGUAGCGGUGAAAUGCGCAGAUAUCAGGAGAAACACCGGUGGCGAAGGCGGGACUCUGGGCCGAUACUGACGCUGAGGAGCGAAAGCGUGGGGAGCGAACAGG